rnacentral:rRNA from 1 species
CCUACGGGUGGCUGCAGUGGGGAAUAUUGGACAAUGGGCGAAAGCCUGAUCCAGCCAUGCCGCGUGUGUGAAGAAGGCCUUCGGGUUGUAAAGCACUUUCAGUGGGGAAGAAAGCCUUGGGGCUAAUACCCUCGAGGAAGGACAUCACCCACAGAAGAAGCACCGGCUAACUCCGUGCCAGCAGCCGCGGUAAUACGGAGGGUGCGAGCGUUAAUCGGAAUUACUGGGCGUAAAGCGCGCGUAGGCGGUCUGAUAAGCCGGUUGUGAAAGCCCCGGGCUCAACCUGGGAACGGCAUCCGGAACUGUCAGGCUAGAGUGCAGGAAAGGAAGGUAGAAUUCCCGGUGUAGCGGUGAAAUGCGUAGAGAUCGGGAGGAAUACCAGUGGCGAAGGCGGCCUUCUGGACUGACACUGACGCUGAGGUGCGAAAGCGUGGGUAGCAAACAGGAUUAGAUACCCGAGUAGUC